AAUCUCUUUCCCACUUCUCCAAUGGAUGCUCUCUUUGUCAAUUCAUCUCUCUCCCGACUCAAACUCAAAUUCUCUUCUCAAUUUCCUACAUUCUCUCCCCUGCCCCAUCACUCUUAUCUCCCACUUAAAAAACUUAAUUUACCACUUGUAUUUGCCACGCUUCAGAACCAACACCAGCAACAAUCAGCAGCCGAAGAAGUAGCACAAGAAGAAUUUGAAGAUUACGAUGCCGACGAAACGUAUGGAGAAGUUAACAAAAUCAUUGGGAGUCGAGCAAUUGAAGGUGGGAAAGGAAUGGAGUAUUUGAUUGAGUGGAAAGAUGAACAUGCCCCUACCUGGGUUCCCUCUAAUUUCAUCGCACAAGAUGUUGUCGCUGAGUAUGAAACCCCUUGGUGGAACGCUGCGAAAAAGUCAGAUGAAUCGGCUCUUCGGGAACUUAUUGAAGCCGAGGACGACAGAGAUGUGGAUGCUGUUGAUGACGAUGGACGAACGGCUUUGCUCUUUGUUUCGGGACUCGGGUCGGAGCCUUGCGUCAAGCUGCUCGCUGAAGCCGGCGCCGACGUCAAUUACCGCGACAGGAGCGGCGGUUUGACGGCUCUGCAUAUGGCUGCAGGAUAUGUGAAGCCUGGAGUCGCUAAGCUGUUAAUUGAGCUCGGCGCAGACCCCGAGGUGCAAGAUUACAGAGGGCAGACGCCGCUGAGCUUAGCGAGGAUGGUCUUGAAUCAAACACCUAAAGGAAACCCAAUGCAAUUCGCGAGGAGAUUGGGAUUAGAGAAUGUGAUUAGGGUAUUGGAGGAUGCAAUUUUUGAGUAUGCACAAGUGGAGGAGAUAUUGGAGAAGAGAGGAAAAGGUGAAAAUGUUGAAUAUUUAGUGAAAUGGAAGGAUGGGGAGGAUAAUGAAUGGGUUAAAGCAUGGCUGAUAUCUGAGGAUUUGGUGAGAGAUUUUGAGGCUGGAUUGGAAUAUGCAGAGGCAGAGUGCAUCUUGGAGAAGAGAGAGGGUGACAACGGGAAAGGCGAGUACUUGGUUAAAUGGACUGAUAUUGAGGAGGCUACUUGGGAACCAGAAGAAAAUGUUGACCCCCUUCUGAUAGAAGAUUUUGAAAAAGGUCAACAGAAAGUAGUAAGUUGAAUUCAUGGUUUCUCUUUUGGCUUGUAUUUUUCUUUUUCUGUGGUAAUAUAAUGCUCUUUUGUUUUAUAAACUAUAGUUGUGGUAAUGUAUGUAAUUCUGAGGUUGUCUAACAGGUUGAG
rnacentral:misc_RNA from 1 species